AUGCAGCGAGAACACAGUCCAUCAACAGUCCUGCAUUGCUCUCUGAAACCUGGUCUCAGCCGUCACAGACAAAAAACAAAAUGCACCAGAAUGCGACCCAACAAACGCAAGCAUGCAGACAUCAAGUCAUGCAGUUCUGACAUGGAGGAGAACUUGUCAGAAGCUCCUGAGGAGGUUUACCUACUUAGCUACUUAUGGCUAAUGCCAAGCUUUUUGAGGGGGUGGGGAACACUGCACUGACUUUGGACUUGAUAUAACACAGUAGGACCAACACCAGCAGGUUGGACUGUGUGUCUCUCCACCUCUCCAGACUCCCUUGAUUAACAAAUGAAACGUAAACUUUACUGAAGGUCAGUGAUGGUGAAUUUAUUUUUAAUUAUCUUUUAACAUAAAACAACCUGCCUUUUUAUGUUAUCUUUUAUGUAAAGUGUGGUUAAAUAAUAGAGAUAGGUGGAGGAAGAUAAAGAGAGGUGGAGGGGGUGAGAAUGCAGGCAGCAGAUAUUUCCUGCUUCUCUCUUUUUUUUUUAAGGGACCGUCAUCUGAUGCAAUUUCAUCUGCUGUUGAAUAAGAUUUUAAGAGCACAGAA
rnacentral:lncRNA from 1 species